CCGACUGCUAUUUGGGUGAGGAUAAGCCAUGCGAGUUGAAUGGGAUACCUAAAUUUCCCAUAGCAAACUGCUCAGUAACACAUGAUCAACUUGCCCUAUAGAGAAAAAUAACCUCGGGAAACUGAGGAUAAUAUUUCAUAGUUGAAUUGGCUUGGAAAAGUUUUUCAAUAAAAUGGAUGAAAAAAAUGGUUUUUAUCUGCUAUAGGAUAGGAUCGUGGACGAUUAUGGUUGUUGGUGAGGUAACGGCUCACCAAGCCGAUAAUCGAUAGGGGCCGUGAGAGCGGGAGCCCCGAGAUGGGUACUGAGACAACGACCCAGGCCUUACGAGGCGCAGCAGGCGCGAAACCUCCGCAAUACACGAAAGUGUGACGGGGUUACCCAAAGUGUUCAAUUUUGAACUGUGGUAGGUGAGUAAUGUUCCCUACUAGAAAGGAGAGGGCAAGGCUGGUGCCAGCCGCCGCGGUAAAACCAGCUCUUCAAGUGGUCGGGAUAAUUAUUGGGCUUAAAGUGUCCGUAGCCGGUUUAGUAAGUUCCUGGUAAAAUCGGGUAGCUUAACUAUCUGUAUGCUAGGAAUACUGCUAUACUAGAGGGCGGGAGAGGUCUGAGGUACUACAGGGGUAGGGGUGAAAUCUUAUAAUCCUUGUAGGACCACCAGUGGCGAAGGCGUCAGACUGGAACGCGCCUGACGGUGAGGGACGAAAGCCAGGGGAGCGAACCGGAUUAGAUACCCGGGUAGUCCUGGCCGUAAACGAUGCAUACUAGGUGAUGGUACGGCCAUGGGCCGUAUCAGUGCCGUAGGGAAACCGUUAAGUGUGCCGCCUGGGAAGUACGGUCGCAAGGCUAAAACUUAA
rnacentral:rRNA from 1 species